rnacentral:rRNA from 1 species
AUUAAAAACCAAUGCCCUUCGGGGCUCCCUGGUGAUUCAUAAUAACUUCUCGAAUCGCACGGCCUUGCGCCGGCGAUGGUUCAUUCAAAUUUCUGCCCUAUCAACUUUCGACGGCUGGGUCUUGGCCAGCCAUGGUGACAACGGGUAACGGAGGGUUAGGGCUCGACCCCGGAGAAGGAGCCUGAGAAACGGCUACUACAUCCAAGGAAGGCAGCAGGCGCGCAAAUUACCCAAUCCCGACACGGGGAGGUAGUGACAAUAAAUACUGAUACAGGGCUCUUUUGGGUCUUGUAAUUGGAAUGAGUACAAUUUAAUUCCCUUAACGAGGAACAAUUGGAGGGCAAGUCUGGUGCCAGCAGCCGCGGUAAUUCCAGCUCCAAUAGCGUAUAUUAAAGUUGUUGCAGUUAAAAAGCUCGUAGUUGAACCUUGGGCCUGGCUGGCCGGUCCGCCUCACCGCGUGCACUGGUCCGGCCGGGUCUUUCCCUCUGGGGAGCCGCAUGCCCUUCACUGGGUGUGUC